CGCGAUAAAAAUAGUACUAUUGCGCACGUGCUCAGUUCGUCUCCGCCAAAUAUUUCGUUCAGGCGGGACUUGAUUGACCCUCAACUUAUGUCAUGGCAUAAUCUUUUAUCCCGACUGGAUUCGAUUAACCUGACACACGGCAGGGAUGUUUUUCGCUGGAACCUUACUACAUCGGGGUCUUUCACAGUAGACUCUAUGUAUCAUGCGCUAAUAUAUUCUGAGGUACCAAUGAGUAAUAACAAGAAAAUUUGA
rnacentral:rRNA from 1 species